rnacentral:rRNA from 1 species
UACGGGGGGGGCAAGCGUUGUUCGGAAUUACUGGGCGUAAAGGGCUCGUAGGUGGCCAACUAAGUCAGACGUGAAAUCCCUCGGCUUAACCGGGGAACUGCGUCUGAUACUGGAUGGCUUGAGUUCGGGAGAGGGAUGCGGAAUUCCAGGUGUAGCGGUGAAAUGCGCAGAUAUCAGGAGGAACACCGAUGGCGAAGGCAGGUCUCUGGGCCGAUACUGGACGCUGAGGAGCGAAAGCGUGGGGAGCGAACAGG